rnacentral:rRNA from 1 species
UACGUAGGGGGCAAGCGUUGUCCGGAUUUAUUGGGCGUAAAGAGCGUGUAGGCGGCCAGAUAGGUCCGUUGUGCAAACCCGUGGCUCAACCAUGUGGUCUGCAGUCGAUACGGGCAGGCUAGAAUUCGGUAGGGGAGACUGGAAUUCCUGGUGUAGCGGUGAAAUGCGCAGAUAUCAGGAGGAACACCGGUGGCGAAGGCGGGUCUCUGGGCCGAUAUUGACGCUGAGGAGCGAAAGCGUGGGGAGCGAACAGG